rnacentral:rRNA from 1 species
CAGCCGCCGCGGUAAUACGUAGGUGGCAAGCGUUGUCCGGAAUUAUUGGGCGUAAAGGGCUCGCAGGCGGUUUCUUAAGUCUGAUGUGAAAGCCCCCGGCUCAACCGGGGAGGGUCAUUGGAAACUGGGAAACUUGAGUGCAGAAGAGGAGAGUGGAAUUCCACGUGUAGCGGUGAAAUGCGUAGAGAUGUGGAGGAACACCAGUGGCGAAGGCGACUCUCUGGUCUGUAACUGACGCUGAGGAGCGAAAGCGUGGGGAGCGAACAGGAUUAGAGACCCCUGUAGUCCCUGUCUCUUAUAA